UACGGAGGGUGCGAGCGUUGUCCGGAAUCACUGGGCGUAAAGGGCGCGUAGGCGGCGCGGGAAGUCAUCGGUGAAAGUUCAGGGCUCAACUCUGAAUCGGCCGGUGAUACUCUCGUGCUUGAGCACUGUAGAGGCAGGUGGAAUUCCGGGUGUAGCGGUGGAAUGCGUAGAGAUCCGGAAGAACACCGGUGGCGAAGGCGGCAUCCUGGACCAACACUGACGCUGAGGAGCGAAAGCCAGGGGAGCAAACGGG
rnacentral:rRNA from 1 species